CCCACACCCCCCCCACUCCCUCCCUCCCUCCCUCCCUCCCUCCCCGCCGCCGCCUGCUAAAGAAGCCGACGAAAGCCGGAGCGAGCCGGAUGAACGCUGGGGUGGGCUCGCAUGUGCUGAACGUGAGAUGUUUUUCUUAGUCGCUCCAACAGACAGGAAUCUACUGGCAAGAAGAAAGGCUCGGUCUUCCCCAGGAGAGAGGAGUACAAAGCCCCCAGUCUGCACACAGCAGAUGCAGAGAGCCAGUCCAUCUGCCACCAACUCGCUGUGCCACAUGGGCCUGAGAGAUUUACUCUGAGGGCUCCGGGCUCCAAAAGCUCCUUCAGCCCCUUUAAUAAACUACUCAGAGUGCCUCGCUGGAAAAGACAAACAAGAGGCCUCUGGCCUGGGUAACGUUCGCUUUACUAGGGCGAAAGCUACCCCCCCCCUCCUUUUCUGCACAUCUGUGACAAUUGUGUGCCUCCUCCCUUCAGGUAUUUUAUUCCCCCUGUCUCUUCUUCCAGUGCGUUGCCGCCGCCAAGGUCAACGGAGACAAACAGGCCCACCAGCGUCUCGAUGUGGUGGCAGCAGAACAGUGAGAGGAGAGAGAGAGAGAGAGAGAGAGAGAGAGAAUGGGGGGUGGUGGUGGGGCAGCUGGUGGGUUGGAUAGACAUGUGUAGCGGGUACAGCGGGGAGGGGGAUGAUGGUGGCAGCAGCUGGUAGGAGCAGCACGACGUCGUCACAAUGACGGCGACGGAUGUUGCUUCCAUUCUCCUGGCACGCACGCACGCACGCGCGCACACUAUACCACUUACUAUUAAUUUUCAAUUAAAACCCCCAUGAAGUGCAUUGCCUCUGGAUCAUUAGACAAAGUCAAGAGACCAUCACAGCCGUUUCCCCCGUCAUCCCUGCCACCGUCACUUCAGCAGCGCCAGUGCCGCCGCAAAGUACGAGCACCGCGAUGGGGUUUUCGUCAGCCAGUGGCCGCCCUGCCCCUCAGCCACGUGAGGCGACACUACACCAACCCUUCACCGACCAUCGGCUGAAAAUUGCAUCCUCGUCACAUAAAUGAACAAAUCGUUGUUUUAAAGAAACAUUAUAUUUUAACCGAGACUGUCCUCCACCCAAAACACGACCACAUAGGUUGUUUUUCAAGCGGCUUGUUACGACCCUGUGUGGUCGUUUUAAAGGCCGCAGACCUCUAGUGGCCGCUGUGCACGCGGCCGCUGUGUAUUUCAAUGAAUCUGCUUAUAUUCUGUAGAGUAAUGGUACUUAUUCUCUGCCAUGUAGCCCUCAUCAUCCCCCUUACGAGCUCAUUAACCUCGCGCGGGUCCAUCAAAUAAAACCCCACAAUGCGCUGAAGUAGUUUUUGUGGCGUACCUCCUGUCGCCAGUAGGGGUGCUAAUUUAGGAAGCGGUCUACGCAUACGACAUAGUUCGCCGCUAAGCUGGAGGACUUGUUGUGCUUGUUUUAAGUGACAUCAGAACAAAAGAGAAGGCGAAAGGUGCCCAGAGGAAAAAGACUGUGGCUUCUCAUGCCAAUGGGAGCAUAGAAUUUAUUGGAGCGUAUGAAUAGAGUAUAUGAAUGAUGUUCACUUUGCACUGGGAGGUUAUCCAUUCGACUUCACUCCCUUUCCUCCAUUCUCACAUCUAAGUGCCAGUCAGACAGAAAAAAAACAACAAAUUAAGUGAUUUCGCCUUCUACAAAAAUAUGCUCGACUGCCCCCAACAACUCCCAUACAGUGAUAACUAGUGUUUCCAAAGAGCCAAGCGCCACGCAUAUGAAACGGAGCACACACGCACAUCAGCACCAUUCAUUAGUUGUCACACAGAUGUUCCACAAGCACAAUUCAUGGGCCACUUAGUCCUGCCUGCAAAUAAAUAUAUAAAAGAAAAUAAAUAAAAGAGCCAAACAAGGUUUAAUGAGGGGGUGAGGCUCGUUUUUAGUCCCGGGCAACGCUGAUCACACGAUAAGUUGCUCAUGGCCAGAGAGCAGAGACCAUUACGGACCGGUGAUUAUAUAAGUGGUUGGAAGGCAGCACCGUUUUAAUAUACUGGACUUAAGCGCCGGGGUAUCCAUGGCAACUUGCCUUUGCACCGUGCAUUCAACAAAAAAAAAAUCCCUAAUGAAAUGCCUAUUAAGUGGUUGAUAAUGACAGAGUCCAAAUAUAUUU